rnacentral:lncRNA from 1 species
GAGAGCUCGUCCGUAUUACUCUUCGACUUCACCCUUCUACCAUCUUCUUCCUUCUCUGAGGCUCUCUUCACUUUCUCCCUCGACAUUAUAAAACACUACAUGACACUGUUCAGUCACACUAAUACUACGUUUAUGAUUCGUCGUGGACUUUCUACUACUGAAAUUAUGCUCCAGAAACUCUAGACAAAAUACUGAAGACAACUAACAUGGAGUGCCCC